rnacentral:rRNA from 1 species
UGGCGAACGGGUGAGUAACAUAUCGGAACGUACCGGGUAGCGGGGGAUAACUGAUCGAAAGAUCAGCUAAUACCGCAUACGUCUUGAGAGGGAAAGCAGGGGACCUUCGGGCCUUGCGCUAUCCGAGCGGCCGAUAUCUGAUUAGCUGGUUGGCGGGGUAAAGGCCCACCAAGGCGACGAUCAGUAGCGGGUCUGAGAGGAUGAUCCGCCACACUGGGACUGAGACACGGCCCAGACUCCUACGGGAGGCAGCAGUU